rnacentral:lncRNA from 1 species
AGUUGAGCUAAUCUAAUGUAAGUUACUUAAACAAGUUAGUUAAUAUUGGUAACAUAGAUUAGAUCAUAUUCCUAUAAAUGGGUGCUAAACCUAAUUUGGUGUCUUAGACCAACUCAUUUGUGGAACCACCACAACCUAGCAUAUGUUAUAGGAUACCCAACCAAUUUAUCCCAAAAGCAAAGUAAACCUUGUUGGGCCUACCCAUCCCAACCACCGACAACUAUCUUAACCAUAUGUCCUUAACACGGAUGGCGACUCCAAGAAGAAAGGGCCAAAGAAGACCAACCACGUCAAGGGAGGAUACACA